rnacentral:rRNA from 1 species
UACGUAGGGUGCAAGCGUUGUCCGGAAUUAUUGGGCGUAAAGAGCUCGUAGGCGGUUUGUCGCGUCUGCUGUGAAAUCCCAGGGCUUAACCCUGGGCCUGCAGUGGGUACGGGCAAACUAGAGUGCGGUAGGGGAGAUCGGAAUUCCUGGUGUAGCGGUGAAAUGCGCAGAUAUCAGGAGGAACACCGGUGGCGAAGGCGGAUCUCUGGGCCGUAACUGACGCUGAGAAGCGAAAGCGUGGGGAGCGAACAGG